rnacentral:rRNA from 1 species
AAUCCAUAGGUUAAUGAGGCGAACCGGGGGAACUGAAACAUCUAAGUACCCCGAGGAAAAGAAAUCAACCGAGAUUCCCCCAGUAGCGGCGAGCGAACGGGGAGGAGCCCAGAGCCUGAAUCAGCAUGUGUGUUAGUGGAAGCGUCUGGAAAGGCGCGCGAUACAGGGUGACAGCCCCGUACACAAAAGCGCAUGUGCUGUGAGCUCGAUGAGUAGGGCGGGACACGUGGUAUCCUGUCUGAAUAUGGGGGGACCAUCCUCCAAGGCUAAAUACUCCUGACUGACCGAUAGUGAACCAGUACCGUGAGGGAAAGGCGAAAAGAACCCCGGCGAGGGGAGUGAAAAAGAACCUGAAACCGUGUACGUACAAGCAGUGGGAGCACCCUUCGGGGUGUGACUGCGUACCUUUUGUAUAAUGGGUCAGCGACUUAUAUUCUGUAGCAAGGUUAACCGUAUAGGGGAGCCGGAGGGAAACCGAGUCUUAAUUGGGCGUUAAGUUGCAGGGUAUAGACCCGAAACCCGGUGAUCUAGCCAUGGGCAGGUUGAAGGUUGGGUAACACUAACUGGAGGACCGAACCGACUAAUGUUGAAAAAUUAGCGGAUGACCUGUGGCUGGGGGUGAAAGGCCAAUCAAACCGGGAGAUAGCUGGUUCUCCCCGAAAGCUAUUUAGGUAGCGCCUCGUGAAUUCAUCUCCGGGGGUAGAGCACUGUUUCGGCUAGGGGGCCAUCCCGGCUUACCAACCCGAUGCAAACUGCGAAUACCGGAGAAUGUUAUCACGGGAGACACACGGCGGGUGCUAACGUCCGUCGUGAAGAGGGAAACAACCCAGACCGCCAGCUAAGGUCCCAAAGUCAUGGUUAAGUGGGAAACGAUGUGGGAAGGCCCAGACAGCCAGGAUGUUGGCUUAGAAGCAGCCAUCAUUUAAAGAAAGCGUAAUAGCUCACUGGUCGAGUCGGCCUGCGCGGAAGAUGUAACGGGGCUAAACCAUGCACCGAAGCUGCGGCAGCGAACGUAUCACCCAAGACAACUUUACGGAGUUGACGAUUGACGGAGCGAAGCGACGUCAAAGCGUUCAUUAAAGUCGAGUUGGCUUAGGGAUACGUUCGUUGGGUAGGGGAGCGUUCUGUAAGCCUGUGAAGGUGUGUCGUGAGGCAUGCUGGAGGUAUCAGAAGUGCGAAUGCUGACAUAAGUAACGAUAAAGCGGGUGAAAAGCCCGCUCGCCGGAAGACCAAGGGUUCCUGUCCAACGUUAAUCGGGGCAGGGUGAGUCGACCCCUAAGGCGAGGCCGAAAGGCGUAGUCGAUGGGAAACGGGUUAAUAUUCCCGUACUUGGUGUUACUGCGAAGGGGGGACGGAGAAGGCUAUGUUGGCCGGGCGACGGUUGUCCCGGUUUAAGCGUGUAGGUGUGUGUUCCAGGUAAAUCCGGUUCACUUUAACACUGAGGCGUGACGACGAGGCACUACGGUGCUGAAGCAACAAAUGCCCUGCUUCCAGGAAAAGCCUCUAAGCAUCAGGUAACACGAAAUCGUACCCCAAACCGACACAGGUGGUCAGGUAGAGAAUACCAAGGCGCUUGAGAGAACUCGGGUGAAGGAACUAGGCAAAAUGGUGCCGUAACUUCGGGAGAAGGCACGCUGACACGUAGGUGAAGUGAUUUACUCA